GAUGAAGAACGUAGCGAAAUGCGAUAAGUAAUGUGAAUUGCAGAAUUCAGUGAAUCAUCGAAUCUUUGAACGCACAUUGCGCCCGUCAGUAUUCUGGCGGGCAGGCCUGUUCGAGCGGCAUUACGCCCCUCAAGUCCCCUGUGGACUUGGUGUUGGGGAUCGGCGAGGCUGGUUUUCCAGCACAGCCGUCCCUUAAAUUAAUUGGCGGUCUCGCCGUGGCCCUCCUCUGCGCAGUAGUAAAACACUCGCAACAGGAGCCCGGCGCGGUCCACUGCCGUAAAACCCCCCAACUUUUUAUAGUUGACCUCGAAUCAGGUAGGACUACCCGCUGAACUUAAGCAUAUCAAUAAGCGGAGGA
rnacentral:misc_RNA from 1 species